ensembl:lncRNA
CCUGAGACUAAUGAAGAACCACAACCUUCAGAAAUCAGAUAUUACUUUUAAUAAAACAACCUUGGUGUUUUAUUGCUAGACCUUAAUAAGACAAUGUCUAAGGACAGGAUUCUAUACAGCAUCAACUAUCUUUGGCUGAUAUUACAUGGCACAUUAAAUAACCACAUUAAAUAACCACCAAAAAAAAAGUCCUAAUUCCAUCAUUAAAUAGAUCAUUACUAUCAAGAAAAGCCAAUGUGAAGAAAAAUAAAGCUUUGUUCUACAGAUUCAGCAGUGCUAGUUUUACAUUAGUGCAGUUGAGAGCAUCCUUGAAAUAGCAUAGACUACUACAUACCAAUGACAUUGAUGUUCUUUUCAGAAUCCAUAGAAACCUUUUGGUUUUACAAUUUGGAGAAUUACUGUACAAGAAACCCAUUGUUUUUGUUAAACGAUUCAAUGCAUACCUUCCAACUAAAAAUGUUUAUUUUAUUAUCCAUAAAUACAUAUUCAACUUUAUUUAUCCCCACUGGGACAAUACAAAUGCCCAAAUAAUAUGUAUUACACCAUUUGAUACACAAUCGUUUAAAUUAACAUUAAAAACAGAACUUUGGCAAGUCAGCAGAAAUGUUCAAAAUAGUUUGAGGACCCAAACCCAGUAUAGACUGAGGAAGGCUAAAGGCACAGCUAUUUUCCUCUGGAGUGGUUUACCCUUGAAAUACUGUAAAAAAUAUAUAUUUACCACAGUAUUUUAUGUAAGGUGUUGAGACACGUGUAUUGUUUAUAUUUUUGGUAUAUUGAGAUCAGGAUAUGAAAUGUAUUUCACAUGGGAUAAAAACAAUUAUGUAUAUAAAAUAUGAAUUGUGUAUUAUUUCAUGACAAAAUGCUGUGUAGACAUGAUAGGAAACAUACACUGAGUACACCAGAACGAAACACCUUCCUAAUAUUGAGUUACGCACCCUCUGAAUGACACACACAAUCAUUGUCUCAAGGUUUACAAAUCCCUUUUUGACCUGUUUGCUCCCAUUCAUCUACACUGAUUCAAGUGGAUUUAAGUGACAUCAAAAAGGGAUCAUAGCUUUCACCUGGUCAGUCUGUCAUAGAAAGAGCAGGUGUUCUUAAUGUGUUUGUACAACAGGAAUACUGUACACUGAGUACAGUAUUCCUGUUGUAUCGUAUUGUACCCCCCCCAAUCACGUAAAGUACAGCCACCCCAAAACAGAAUAUAAAAAGAGGGACACACAACAAAACUGAGAAAGCAGUCCGUAUUUGAUCAACUGGCUCAACUAUACCUGUAUGCCAAUAAUUGUCUGCAAGGAUUGGUGUAGAAUAUUCUGAACCUGCCUCCCGUCUCUGUGAAAGGAGGUCUCCCAUUGUCUCUGUUCAGCAACAACAUCAGCAGGCAGUCUGAAUCAAGGACAGACAGAUGGGCUGUAGUGAUUCCAUCCAGCCUCAGGCCGGUCUAUACCCUGCCGAGGACACUGGUCAUAGGCUCCCCUGGCUGUCGCUCAAAUGGGGCAGUGUUGGUUGGACAGACAAUCCGCCUGAGGGUUUUUGUUUGUUUUUGUCCACAAAAUAGGACGAACGGUCCUCAGGGUCCAGCACUGUAUGCGACUGUGAUUACUAACAAGAGUUUGAAGGCACUCAUAGAGGUUGACGGGCACAGUGUGGAUGGAUGGAUUAAUAACGGCUUCCUCUGAAGGUACAGGUGUUGGGUUGUCCUGCGGUUCCUCUGUGGGAUCCGGUGAGGGGGCUCCGGACUACUCACUGAAGCUGAAGUGUAUGGCUGGGUUUGAUGGGUUCACUGAGGUGGGGGAGGAGGGCCCUGCACUGGACACUGUGCUGGGGGGGCCACUGCUUACUGCGCACACACAAUGAAAAGAGAAAGAGAG